rnacentral:rRNA from 1 species
UACGUAGGGUGCGAGCGUUGUCCGGAAUUAUUGGGCGUAAAGAGCUCGUAGGCGGUCUGUCGCGUCGGCUGUGAAAACCCGCAGCUCAACUGUGGGCUUGCAGCUGAUACGGGCGGGCUGGAGUUCGGUAGGGGAGACUGGAAUUCCUGGUGUAGCGGUGAAAUGCGCAGAUAUCAGGAGGAACACCAGUGGCGAAGGCAGCUCGCUGGGACGGUACUGACGCUGAGACGCGAAAGCGUGGGGAGCAAACAGG